UUUUUCUUUUUCUUUUUCUUUUUUUCUUUUGUUGUUUUGGGGAAAUCAAAAAAAAAAAGAAAGAAACCAAGAAUAUU
rnacentral:ribozyme from 13 species